rnacentral:rRNA from 1 species
AUGAACGCUGGCGGCGUGGAUAAGGCAUGCAAGUCAAGGGGCUCGCAAGAGCACCGGCAGACGAGGUAGUAAUAAGCAGGUACGCACCCUGAAGUUGGGCAUAGCUCCGCGAAAGCGGAGGUAAUUCCCGAUAGUUCCCGCAAGGGUAAAGUCGCAAGACGCUUUAGGAGCGGCCUGUUCAGUAUCAGCUAGUUGGUAGGGUAAUGGCCUACCAAGGCAAUGACGCUUAGGGGGGGUGAGAGCCUGUUCCCCACCGAUGGAACUGAGAGACGGUCCAUACACCUACGGGUGGCUGCAGCCGAGAAUAUUCCACAAUGGGCGAAAGCCUGAUGGAGCGACGCCGCGUGGAGGACGAAGUGCUUCGGCAUGUAAACUCCUUUUGUACACUAGAAAGUUUAUUGAUCGGUGUAAGAAUAAGAGGUUGCUAAACUCGU